CAGACUUUCCUAUCAAGGGCCAUGUCCUCAUAAACCCGCAUUCUAGCCACGUCAUGCCUAAUCACCUCUCCUCAAUACCUCUUAGGCCUCCCUCUGCCUGGCCGUGCGCCGACCAUCGCCAGCCGCUCACAACUCCUCACCGGGGCAUCACGACUUCUCCUUCGUACAUGCCCGAACCACCUCAGCCUCGCUUCUCGCAUCUUCUCA
rnacentral:lncRNA from 1 species